rnacentral:rRNA from 1 species
UACAGAGGUCCCAAGCGUUGUUCGGAUUCAUUGGGCGUAAAGGGUGCGUAGGUGGCAGGGUAAGUUGGAUGUGAAAUCCCGGGGCUCAACCCCGGAACUGCAUUCAAUACUGCCCUGCUAGAGUACUGGAGAGGAGAUUGGAAUUCAUGGUGGUAGCAGUGAAAUGCGUAGAUAUCAUGAGGAAGACCAGUGGCGAAGGCGGAUCUCUGGACAGUUACUGACACUGAGGCACGAAGGCCAGGGGAGACAAACGGG